UACGUAGGGUGCAAGCGUUGUCCGGAAUUAUUGGGCGUAAAGAGCUCGUAGGCGGUUUGUUGCGUCGGCUGUGAAAUCCCGAGGCUCAACCUCGGGUCUGCAGUCGAUACGAGCAAACUAGAGUGUUGCAGGGGAGACUGGAAUUCCUGGUGUAGCGGUGAAAUGCGCAGAUAUCUGGAGGAACACCGGUGGCGAAGGCGGCGUCCUGGACCAAUUCUGACACUGAGGAGCGAAAGCCAGGGGAGCAAACGGG
rnacentral:rRNA from 1 species